CCCAUUUGAAUAUUUUCCAAAUACUAGUACCAUAUUUGUUUUCUCGUACUUCUUAGCUAUUCAAAAAGUUGUUUGAAAUUUGAAUCCAAAAACUAUUUGCAAAAACAGAAAAAAAAGGGAAAAGAAAACCUUACCUGCUCACUUGGCCCGAGCCAGCCCAGCUGCCUCGGCCCGCCUUCCCCGCGCGCCGUGCAGCCCCGCAGCGUGGCCCAGUUUCUCUCCUCGCGCGCCCAGCCCGCCGGCGCCCGCGGCCCAGUUUCCUUCGCGCAGCGCCCGCGUGCCAUUUCCCCGCAGCGAAAGUGCAUUCUGCAAAAUACACC
rnacentral:lncRNA from 1 species